GGUAAUCUAGAAUUCAGAAAUGAAAGACCCACCAAGUCUUUUUAUUUAUACAUGUGAUUGGGAGUAGAGUUUCAUAGGGUUGAUACACUCUUCCAAGAGAAUGUUCUUACAGUAUAAGGCUGAAUCAUCUAAGGAGACAGAUUUUAGAGAAGACUUCAACAUUUCCUCAUUCAAUGUGAUGUUAGCUGUUGGCUGCUAUUCAAGGCCUUUUUCAUGUUGAGAGAAAUGCAACAUUUGUUUGAGAAGCUGCUGUGAAGUUGUGUGGCUGCUGCAUUUCCUGGGAGCACACCCCACCUCCUGCCAGCGACUCUGAGGGGAGACAGCCUUGACUUGUGGCACUUUUCAGGUUUGUUUCUUAAACUCUGGCCAGCUUUUCAACUGACUCCAGGGGUGGAGUAUCUUGAAAUUCAUCUUUAGGUUGCAGAAAUUACAUGGAGUACCCUGGCUCACAUAUUUCUAAAUUCAGAGGUUGAAAAUUACUGUCCGCCUAGGGUGUUUACCUGAAAUUAAUCAGCCCACAUUUGGGACAGGCUGAGUUGCACAUUGUGAACGUGUUGUUCUAUCCCUGGAGCAAUCAAUCACAGAGCCAAGUAAUAGCUAAGAAGGAAAGAAAAGAAGACAGUAAUUAAAUGUCUGGAAAUUAGAACAUUACACAAAACCUCAGAGAUAUAAUGGUUAUGAAGACAAGUUAUAGAGAUACAAGCUUCUAAUUCUGGCUGUGCAACUUACUUCCCACUUUAUAUACUCAUGAGCAAGUUAAUUCAAUCUCCGUAAUCUCAGUUACUUCAUCUAUAAACAUGGAAUAAUAAAAAUAACCACCUCAUAGGCUUGUUAUGAGAACUGAAUCAGGCAGUGGAUACAAAAUGGCAGUUAACAUGGUAAGCAUUUGUAUUUUAUCUGAGUCUGAUGGCAUUCAGGAAUAAAGGUCAAAGAAUACCGUGAUUGACAAAAAUCUGUAGUUAAAUUACUUGUCAUGGAAAAGUGCUUCUUCCUGGUAGCCUGAAUAUUUCUUGUUGCUCAACCACACUUCAUUUACUUCCAGAGAGCUCUUAUCCUACACUUGCUGCUUUGAAGUGCACCUAUGGCUCCUGUUGGCAAGUUCUUGAGAAUGCAGGGCUUUGGUCCAGCCUUGUCAAAUCAAGAGGACAAUCUCCUGUCCCCAGUAAUACUGAACACUCAGGGGUUUCUAGAUGUUUAGUUACCACUUACUCCUGGCUUCAUCUUCUGUAAAGUAAAUGUGUACUUGGCAUAGAUUUUAUAACCACCUUGAAGGAGAAAAGGAACCAACCCUGCAAUUAUGGAUGUUGUAGAGAAUUUAAUCUGAUGCUCACUUCUUAGCAAUUCCCAUGCAUUGUGUGAAUAUUUUUCAGCUCUUGUAAUAGAAUUCAAGUUCUUUCUCUUUUAAAUAAUGAUUUAUCCCAAAGGAUUUUUUAAUUAAUGACAAAACGACACAAAUUUAUCGGACGUUUAAGAUGGUAUUUAUACUCUUUCAUUUAUUUGAAGAGUCAUAAUUUAUGUACCUUCUGCAGAAAUAUUAAUAAUUACCAACAGUUGUUGGACACUUCCUAUGUGCCAGACUCUUUCCUAAGCCCUUGUACAUGUAGGCUUAUAGAAGUAUUAGGGGAAAGAAGAAGAGUAACACCUUUUGAUAUUUCAUAUAGCAAAAGCUCAGUGAUUUAUUUAUUUAUUUAUUUAUUUAUUUAUUUUGGUGGAGAGAUCAAGACUUGUGAUCUUACCUCUGGUGAGAUAAGAGCAUUCUUGGUCUAAAUGUUGAUUUGCUUUGAAAAUGAGGCACUAGCUUAUUACAUUAGUUAAUUAUUUUUAUAAGUGUCUGGGUCCUUAGUGAUUCAUUUAAAUUUAAAAAAGUCUGUUAUAUAGUUGAGAGACUGGCAGAGAGAGGCAGAGCGGACCUAUUCAUUGGUUUACUCCCUAAAUUCCUAUAACAACCAAGAUGGCUAGGGCUAAA